AGGAAAAAAAAAAAUGAAGUGAAAUAAAAGUAAGCCUCCAAAUUGAAAAUAAGAACAACAUUGGGGGCAACGCACAAAAACGCGUAUAUAAUAUCAUUUUUGAAAAUGGUAGCUUAAAGUUGCAAAAGACAGCGAUCUCUCCAUCGUGGGAGAAAUUUUGAGGCAGAAAAGAUCCUAAGAGAAAGAAAUAGGGAUGAGUGGAAUAUCAAGAAGCAGAUCGUUGCGUUUGGGGUCGCUAUUAUUGUAUUUCCUUUCAAUUUCUCUGCUAUUCAUUUCAGGCAUUGCUGGUGAUCCACCUAGUUUGAAAAAUGACAAAAAGGCUGAUGCCUACUCGUCUUCUAGUAGCAAUACUGGGCGUGAGAUUGUCAUCAUAUGUCUUGCAGUUUUGGCAGUAGCGUUAUUUUCAUUUUUCCUCUUUAAAUUUUGGCAAAAGAAGAAAAGAGAAGAGCAGUAUGCCCGUCUUUUGAAGUUGUUUGAAGAGGAUGAUGAGCUUGAGGUUGAACUUGGCCUUCGGGACUGAUGCUUAACCAUUGAAGCUUGAGUUCAUUGUAGCUAAGAUUUGCAGGCUUAAAUGGAAUUUGUCAUGUGGGAAAAUUCUACCUUCAAGGGCGAUGAUUGGGAUGCGGAGAUUCCCUAUAUUGAGAUUAUAUGUUCUUCGAUUACAUUGUAAUAUUUGUAAUCAGUUGUCCAAAUUAGAACUUUGAAUAUGAAUUCUUUCGAGUAUUUAGAGAAGAGAAGGUUACUAUUUUGUGCAAGUUGUAUGAAGGGUCUCAUUUUUUCAGUUUGUAAAAAUUAAUUCAUCAUCAUGAUAGACAUUGAAAAGGUUGUAAGAAUCAAGAGUUAUUGGCUGAGGCUUUUUGAAUAGCAUAUUCUCUGUAUUAAGUAGAAACGAUAAACACAGGAUAAUGGAUUUUGGGGUGUCAGGUUCAUGAUUUUGUCAACUUCUCUAUUUCAAAUCAUAUUUUCUCUGACAAUUUGUGUUCUA